UUUUCACGUUUACUUCAGAGAAUAGUUUACUGGCAUUACAAACUAUAAACUAUUCCUCAGUAGGAAGGAAGAGAUAGGGUUCCCAGUAUUCCCAGACAGGCCUGAAAUAGGGAAGAGUCACCUUAUAAUAAUAGCUCUAUAUAUUAUGUGCUAUGUGAUGUUCACACGUUCACAUGCACACAUACACAUAGACCGAUAGUUCUCAGAAUAUACCCUUAUAACCCUUUUACAGAUGAGAGUAGUGAAACUCAUUGAGGUUAGUAACUGAUGGAAAAAUCUUCCAGUUUGCAAGAAAGAGAGAGAUUCGAACUGAGGACGUGUCUAAAAUGAGGAAUUAAAACAUCAAGUCCCUUCUGAGAUGAUGUCCUGAUUUCUUGCAAUGCAAGAGCAAUAACUAACUCUUUAGCAAGAGCUACUUAAGUCAAGAAAUGUCUCCUGAUAUUUAAUUUUCUUACUCAGUGAACCUGCCACAAAUUGAGAAGACUUCAAAUGAUGGCUGUAGAAUGAUUUUUAUUUACCAGCUUCACUUGCCAGUGACAAAAGAAACAAUGAUUGCUGACUUCUGGGAACAGCCCCUGCAGUUGGUUUUAUGGAAAAUGAAGGAACUGUGCCAGGUAGUUUAAACUGAAACUAGAUGAACUAUCCAUAGAGAGAGUUAGUGCCAGAGAGAUCACUUUAAGUGGCCCACUUGUAAGAUAUAUUCCCCUAGUUCAUAUCAACAUAUACUAACAGAAGUGCUAAUAUAUGUUUGGGAAAGUAUUCAAAGGAAAGCAAAAUAUUUAUCUGAUCUAUUGGGACUGGCUCCACUUUCUUUAGAUGAUAGGAAUAGAAGAGAGAGAAGCAGAAAUCGAUUUUAUCUGCAUGUAAAUAAAAACUUAAAUCUGUGGACUCGAAGAGAGAUCAGUAUGGGAGACCUGCCUUAGGGAAACAUGUGACUAUGAGUGUGAAUUAGAGCAUGAGACAAUGUGCAGAUUAAAGUGAAAAAAGAAUUUAAAAAGAGAUCCACAAACAAUAUUUUAGUUGCUAAUGAACUAAAAUCAGAAGACUUGUGAGGUCCAGGAUUAAGACUAUGGAAGAGUAGGACUUGGCCCUCACCUUUCCCACAAACACUUUAAUACAUAUAUAUUUCCCUCAGACUUACAAAUAGGGCAAGAGUACCUCCACAUAACUUGGUAGAACCAAGGGAAAAAAUGAGAGAGAGAAAAAAAAAAAGAAAGAAAUCAGGACGGGAAGGGAUCAGCACUCCUGAGAGGGAACUGUGAAAGAGGAAAGGAACCUGCACACUGGGAGGCCAACUAAUUGAGGAGGAUAUUAGCCAGUAGAGAGAGAGAGCCUCAAAGCCUCAGAGAAAAGCACAGCACCCAGUCUGAGGAAGGUGCAGAGAGAGAGCCAUAUGGACGAAAGUACCACCACCCUGCACAUCAUAGUCUGAGACACUCAGGCAGGGGCUGGGCUCUGAGGCUCAGGCUUCAGAGAGAGAAAAAUAUAAGCAAAAUGAAGACGCACAGGAACCAUUUCCAGUUAAAAGAAUAGGAGAAUUUCCCUGAAGGAGCAUCUAUGAAACAGACCUCUGCAAUCUAACGGACAUCAAGUUCAAAAAAGAGGUAAUGAAAAUACUAAAAGAAUUAAAAAUGGCUAUUGACAGUAAUGUAGAUUACUUUAAAAAGGAACUAGAAACUAUAAGGAAGAGCAAAGAAAAUUGAGAAAAUUCAUUUGCCAAGAUGAAAGGUGAGCUAAAGACAUUGAAUGGCAGAAUGAAUAAUGCAGAGGAACAAAUAAGUGACUUGAAAGAUAGAAUAAUGGAAAUCACCCAAUCAGGACAGCAGUCAAAGGAAAAAUUUGCAAACUAUAUAAUACUCUACCCAGCAAGAUUUAUCAUUUAAAAUAGGAGAAAUAAAGAUUUUCUCAGACAGACAAAAACUGAAAAAACACAAUAUUAAACCUAUCCUAAAAGAAAUAGUGAAAGAUCUCCUAAAUAAGAAAGAAGUAAGAAAUAGCAAAGAAGUAAGAAAAUAUAGGAUGGAGGAAAUCACAAAUGGAAAGUAACGACUUAAUUAAACCAGUAUACAGAUCAAAAAGAUAAACCAAAAGAACCAAAAAGACCUAUUCAUGAAAGCGAUGAUAAACACAAGGAACAGCAAAGAUAAGAUGUUAAAAAAGGACAUCAAAACCAUAAAAUGUGGAAAAGGAGAGUAAGGAAAUCUAGACUCUUUUUUUUUAGAAUGUGUUUGAGCCUAUAUGAUUAUCAGUCUAACGCAGGCAGAUGUAGGAAGAGGUUAACAUACUUGAAAAACAGGGCAAUCACAAAUCAGAAACAAACAAUAGAUUCACAAAGACCAAAAAGAAGAGGACACAAGCAUAAAAGGAAAUU
rnacentral:lncRNA from 1 species